UACGUACGAGGCGAGCGUUAUCCGGAAUUACUGGGCGUAAAGCGCGCGCAGGUGGCUUGCUAAGUCGGACGUGAAAAUCUCCCGGCCUAACUGGGAGGGGUCGUCCGAGACUGGCCGGCUUGAGGCUGGCAGAGGUAGGUGGAAUUCCUGGUGUAGCGGUGAAAUGCGCAGAUAUCAGGAGGAACACCGGUGGCGAAGGCGGGUCUCUGGGCCGAUACUGACGCUGAGGAGCGAAAGCGUGGGGGAGCAAACAGG
rnacentral:rRNA from 1 species